GACGAACGCUGGCGGCAUGCCCAAUACAUGCAAGUCGAGCGGAGUUGACGAGAAGCUUGCUUCUCUGAUACUUAGCGGCGGACGGGUGAGUAACACGUAGGCAACCUGCCUUUCAGUUUGGGAUAACUUCCGGAAACGGAUGCUAAUACCGAAUACAUCAUCUUCUGGCAUCAGAGAAUGAGGAAAGACGGCGCAAGCUGUCACUGAGAGAUGGGCCUGCGGCGCAUUAGCUAGUUGGUGGGGUAAUGGCUCACCAAGGCGACGAUGCGUAGCCGACCUGGGAGGGUGAACGGCCACACUGGGACUGAGAUACGGCCCAGACUCCUACGGGAGGCAGCAGUAGGGAAUCUUCCACAAUGGGCGAAAGCCUGAUGGAGCAAUGCCGCGUGAGUGAUGAAGGUUUUCGGAUCGUAAAGCUCUGUUGCCAGGGAAGAACGUCCGGGUGAGUAACUGCACCCGGAGUGACGGUACCUGAGAAGAAAGCCCCGGCUAACUACGUGCCAGCCGCCGCGGUAA
rnacentral:rRNA from 1 species